rnacentral:lncRNA from 1 species
UGGCACAUUAAUAUUUUCAAGGGUGCAUGAACAACAUCAGCUCAGGUGCUCCUCUUGAAUCAUCGGCUUAUUAUAAAUUAGAUCCCACUGACUUGGUGCAGCCGACCUAGUGUCAGAUUCCUUAGUACUUGCAUAUGCAGUAAAUUGGAAUUCGCCAUGCCUUAAUAGGGAACUAUGCUAAGAAAAAGAAGUAGGAAACACAUUUACACAUUUUAAUAUAACCAAAUAAAUUCCCAGGAUCAACGAACAAGAAAACUUUUUUUUUUCAAUUGGUUCUUGCUAGCCCCCAAAAAACAAAGAGCAAAACUAGAGGCAACUGAAUAGUAGUUUGAAACUGGAGAUGUCAUAAGUUCAAUCACAUACCAAAAGUGAAUACAUACAAAAAGUUAAUAGGAAAACCCUAUAAACAAAUAUUUGAAGUCAACUAGAACACCGCUUAAUUGCCCGACUAAAUACACCGAAUCAAAAUCUAUUAAAGAGUUUGGAUUGACACUUGGAGAUUCUCCAAUCAACUCUUGCUUUCCUGCAAUAUCAUAAUUACAUUUUGAACCCUCAUCCACUUGAUAUUCAAAUAUUUGAUUAGAAUUAUCUUCUUUGUCCCCAUCAUCAUUUUCUACCACAAAAUCAAAUGUAUCACCCUAAAGACCUUCAUGAAAAUUCUGCUCAAUAAGCGUGUCUGCAAAUAAUUUAUG